AUGACGUGGACACGAUGGGCCAUGGUCACCAUCGUCCUCCUGGCUCUCCAGAGAGCCCUGACAGUCCUGGUGUCUCUGGUGAUCCUGCUAUCCCUGGCAGCCCUGCUAGCCCCCAGGGCCCAGCCCCCCAUGGAGGAGGCAGCCGUGGCUGGAGGCAGUGGAGAUCCAGGUGCUGGAUCUGACUCUCCUGGAUCCUACGUGGCUUUUGAUUUGUUUUGGGAAGUGCCAGAUCAAGGCCCAAAUGUGAGUGAGGCAUCUCCUGCAGGUCUGAAGAAUGAAACUAGAUUGGGAAACAUUUCCUGGCCAUUAAUGGAACAGUCUGAAUUAAUCACUUUACUGAAGGAAACACUUCCAGUGCUGGAGCCUGAGCCUGUGGACAAGGAGACACCUCAGGAAGACCAUCAGGAAGAGCCAGUCCCUGAGGGGAACAGUGAGGCCCUUCAGCCAACAGGUGUGUUCAAGAGAUUCAGCAGUGCUGAGGACAAGAAGACAGACCCAAACACUGUGGAGGACAUGGAAAACACAGGCACAGUUGAUGCUAAAAUCACCUGGAGUGUUUUUAUAAGAGCCUUCCUCGUGUCUGUGGUCUGCAGCCUGAUUGUUCUGCUGCUUCUCAGGGUGGCCCCUGCAUGGGCAAAUGACAUAAAAAAGCGCCUCACAGCUUUGAGAGCCAAUUCUGAGCUCCUGGACAAUGAGACUGAAGAAAAGGACUUAGUGGUAGAAGUCUAA
rnacentral:lncRNA from 1 species